rnacentral:rRNA from 1 species
AACGAACGCUGGCGGCAUGCCUAACACAUGCAAGUCGAACGGUGCCUUCGGGCAUAGUGGCGCACGGGUGAGUAACGCGUGGGAACCUGCCCUGUGGUACGGAACAACUCCGGGAAACUGGAGCUAAUACCGUAUGUGUCCCCUGGGACAAAGAUUUCAUCGCCAUGGGAUGGGCCCGCGUAGGAUUAGCUAGUUGGCGGGGUAACGGCCCACCAAGGCUACGAUCCUUAGCUGGUCUGAGAGGAUGAUCAGCCACACUGGGACUGAGACACGGCCCAGACUCCUACGGGAGGCAGCAGUGGGGAAUAUUGGACAAUGGGCGCAAGCCUGAUCCAGCAAUGCCGCGUGAGUGAUGAAGGCCUUCGGGUUGUAAAGCUCUUUCGCACGCGACGAUGAUGACGGUAGCGUGAGAAGAAGCCCCGGCUAACUUCGUG